rnacentral:rRNA from 1 species
GCCCUUAGAUGUUCUGGGCCGCACGCGCGCUGCACUGAUGCGAUCAACGAGCCUAGCCUUGGCCGAGAGGUCCGGGUAAUCUUGCAAACCGCAUCGUGAUGGGGAUAGAUUAUUGCAAUUAUUAAUCUUCAACGAGGAAUGCCUAGUAAGCGCGAGUCAUCAGCUCGCGUUGAUUACGUCCCUGCCCUUUGUACACACCGCCCGUCGCUCCUACCGAUUGGGUGUGCUGGUGAAGCGUUCGGAUUGGUGGCUCCAAGCGGUUCGCCGCCGGGGGCAACCGAGAAGUUCGUUAAACCCUCCCACCUAGGGGAAGGAGAAGUCGUAACAAGGUUUCCGUAAGUGAACCUGCGGAAGGAUC